GACGAACGCUGGCGGCGUGCUUAACACAUGCAAGUCGAGCGAGGCCCCUCCUUCGGGAGGGUGUCCUAGCGGCGAACGGGUGAGUAACACGUGGGCAACCUGCCCUCAGCUCUGGGAUAACUCCGGGAAACCGGGGCUAAUACCGGAUACGACCUCCACGGGCAUCUGCGGAGGUGGAAAGUUUUUCGGCUGAGGAUGGGCCCGCGGCCUAUCAGCUAGUUGGUGGGGUAGUGGCCCACCAAGGCGACGACGGGUAGCCGGCCUGAGAGGGGGACCGGCCACACUGGGACUGAGACGCGGCCCAGACUCCUACGGGAGGCAGCAGUGGGGAAUAUUGCGCAAUGGGCGAAAGCCUGACGCAGCGACGCCGCGUGAGGGACGAAGGCCUUCGGGUUGUAAACCUCUUUCAGCAGGGACGAAGCGAAAGUGACGGUACCUGCAGAAGAAGCACCGGCCAACUACGUG
rnacentral:rRNA from 1 species